CUCUCUGAGUUAAACUUCAUCGUGCGUGCCCGCGGAGUCCACACAGUACAUGGAGUAUUCGGUUCGUAAGUGUGACGCCACUUCAAUUUUAACCAUGCCCGUUGUCACGUAAGUUAUUCCUAUCAGACUUGCCUUUGAUAUGUUGUUCAAGGACAACUCUGUCCACUCAUGUGCAUCCCAAUAUACUGUAUACAUUUUCUUUUAUGUUUUUACAAAUCUUUCCCAGAUGAAAUUUGAAUUUCCUGUGUUUAUCUCUUCAUUGUUUUUUGUCCAAAUUUCUGCCUAGACCAUCCCAUCCUGAUCCAUUCAUGUCUUGCUUCCACUUGGUAUCAUGUGUGGCAAGAAAGAAUGCUUAAUCUGGAAUGGCAAGAAAAAAGGAGGAUGGGAUCCAUUCGUGUGCACUGAGUCAAGUGAUCGAGAUUCUUUGGGUGGUUGUUGUCGAAUAGCUGAGAAGAGCCAAUGAACUGAAGGCUGAUGAAAACAUGCUUCGAUGGAUAUGUAACACAUGCCGUGUAGGCAUCAAAGUGAAGUAUCAUGGACAUUCUUACAUGAUACAAUAGAUAUGGACAACUUUCCUAGCUGAGUUUUCUGCUAAUGUUCAGGAGUUAACAUGAAGUGAAUAAUCUGCGUCAAGACCUUGAAAUGACCAGACAAGCAGUAACGGACAUGUUAUGAAGUUGUCAGAUGUGCAUUGACAGGAAUGGUCGCCAUAUGGAGGACUUAGCACAUUAAACUGAGGAGAUGAGUUUGUCACCUAAUACUUCAGGAUAUGCCUUUGAGGAAGCAUCUUCAGUUAUUGAGCCACUUACACGUCAAUGUCAUCCACAGCAAGAAACCAACCACUCUGACAUCACUGCUGGCAACGUUUAUUUUGUGGCGGCCAAGACUUUGCUGUGGGCUAUUAUGUAGACGACUUGUAAAACUGUUUUAAACACUGUCUGAUGCUAUAUGGUGCAGCAGGAGAGUAACCUUUUAUUCUUAAUAGGUACAUGUAAUUCAGACUGGUUAUUGUUCUUUUUCUCCAUACAAAAUGUAACUGGUACACAUACUAACUUCUUAUGGAAAUAUGGGUGAAAUCCGUGUACCUGUAAUUCACAAUAUAAUUCCUGACAGUUUCCAACAAGCCCACUUUUGGCUUUGUAAACAUUGUUUGUUUAAUGUUAAAGGUUGCUUGAUUAGUUCUACUCAGAUGAAACUCAGGUGAAGUUCGUUCAUAGUAAUUUUAAUAAUGCAUGGUGUAUAAACAGUAACGUUACUUCACAAAAUAAUUCAAGUUGUUCAACUUGCCAAGAUGCAGUGGAGUUUCAUUUUACUUGCAAAGUUUUGGCAAUAAAAUUUACUUCUGGUCAACAGAUCUGAGUUUAUUGGCUUUUUCUCAAUUUUGCGAAAAAGGCAUU